CCUACGGGUGGCAGCAGUGAGGAAUAUUGGUCAAUGGACGAGAGUCUGAACCAGCCAAGUAGCGUGAAGGAUGACUGCCCUAUGGGUUGUAAACUUCUUUUAUAAAGGAAUAAAACGAGGCACGUGUGCCUUUUUGCAUGUACUUUAUGAAUAAGGAUCGGCUAACUCCGUGCCAGCAGCCGCGGUAAUACGGAGGAUCCGAGCGUUAUCCGGAUUUAUUGGGUUUAAAGGGAGCGUAGAUGGGUUGUUAAGUCAGUUGUGAAAGUUUGCGGCUCAACCGUAAAAUUGCAAUUGAUACUGGCAGUCUUGAGUACAGAUGAGGUAGGCGGAAUUCGUGGUGUAGCGGUGAAAUGCUUAGAUAUCACGAAGAACCCCGAUUGCGAAGGCAGCUCACUAAACUGUGACUGACAUUGAUGCUCGAAAGUGUGGGUAUCAAACAGGAUUAGAUACCCGGGUAGUC
rnacentral:rRNA from 1 species